GCGUAACGCGUGGGAAUCUGCGUAACGCGUGGGAAUCUGGCGUAACGCGUGGGAAUCUGCGUAACGCGUGGGAAUCUGUGUUGGAAGGCCUUAGGGUUGUAAGAUGCGUAACGCGUGGGAAUCUGCGUAACGCGUGGGAAUCUGCGUAACGCGUGGGAAUCUGCGUAACGCGUGGGAAUCUGGCGUAACGCUGGGAAUCUGGCGUAACGCGUGGGAAUCUGCGUAACGCGUGGGAAUCUGUGUUGGAAGGCCUUAGGGUUGUAA
rnacentral:rRNA from 1 species